UACGAAGGGGGCUAGCGUUGCUCGGAAUUACUGGGCGUAAAGCGUGUGUAGGCGGUCUUCUAAGUCGGGUGUGAAAUCCCUGGGCUCAACCCAGGAAGUGCACUCGAAACUGGAGGGCUAGAGUAUCGGAGAGGUUGGUGGAAUUCUCGGUGUAGAGGUGAAAUUCGUAGAUAUCGAGAGGAACACCGGUGGCGAAGGCGGCCAACUGGACGAAUACUGACGCUGAGACACGAAAGCGUGGGGAGCAAACAGG
rnacentral:rRNA from 1 species